rnacentral:rRNA from 1 species
UACGUAGGGUGCAAGCGUUGUCCGGAAUUAUUGGGCGUAAAGAGCUCGUAGGCGGUCUGUCGCGUCUGCUGUGAAAAUUCAGGGCUUAACCCUGAGCUUGCAGUGGGUACGGGCAGACUAGAGUGCGGUAGGGGAGACUGGAAUUCCUGGUGUAGCGGUGAAAUGCGCAGAUAUCAGGAGGAACACCGGUGGCGAAGGCGGGUCUCUGGGCCGUAACUGACGCUGGAGGAGCG